ensembl:lncRNA
CAAGGGUGCACGAAGAUGGCAGCAAGGGAGCAGCCGCCUCCCAGCACUGGCCUUCGCUGUCUCCUGAAUCACAGGUCAUACCCUGGCAUCUUUCCAGGGAGUGGGCUGGGGUGGGAGGCGGGGGAGGGGAGCCAGCCACAGGAGGACCCCUGACUGUGACAGUGGGGACAGCACAGUACACCAUGGGGCAAGGUCCGGUCUUUGUGUCCUUGUCCUGAGCUGCAUCCUAGCCGCAUGCACGUCCUCUCUCCGUCACUUUCUCCUUCUGGGAAGUGAGAAUGCCACCACUCACCCCGCCCACUUCCCGGAAAGCUUCCCACGAGACCAGAGAUGUGAAUUUGUUUAUAUAUCACUCAAGCUGUUGUUUACGGAACUCCAACCAUGUGCGUGUGUCAGUCUCUACUCCUCAGAACUCAGAGAGAUGUCCGUAUUAAACCCCAGACUUCUGUCCACUGUACCAUGACUCACGAGGCGGGUGACCACACUGGGCAGGGAGGGAGUGGCUUUGAGAAGGCAGUGGAAGUCACCCGAACGGCUGACCCAGGAGCAUAAUGAGAAAGAGGAUGUUGGGCAAUUGGGGCCUUGAGAACCCAAACUGACAAACUUGCCAGGGAGUCCCCGCUUACCCUGGCCUCCCCAUCACCACCGCCACCUCCUCCUUCAACACCCAAGGGACUGCCCCAGGCUGGACAAACGCACAGCAGUCCUGUUGGCUCUUGGCCCUGUGCUGACGAAGGGUAGGGGCUGGAUGAACGAGCACGCAGUCGGUUCUAAAACUGCUAAGAGUGGGCACAUUUGGCCCUGAGCUUGAAUAUGUGAGUUUCUGACACUCUGGGAAUGACCCCACCUCCCAAGCCCUCAGGAAGGCCAGAAGCUGCCUCACACACACACACACACACACCCAUCUUGAUCCUGCUGCUCAUGUGUCUCAGCACCACAGCAGCCUGCCCACAGACGUUCCCAGAAGCCGGCUGAAUGUGUGUGUUUCAGGCAAGCCAAGGGUCCGAAGGACCUUGUAACAGGGGAAGUCUGGACACGGAGACAAGCAGAGAGGGAAGACGACGUGAAGAGACACAGGAAGAAGCCAGCCAUCUGCACGCCAAGGAGCGAGGCCUCAAACACGUCCUUCCUUCAUGGCCUCAGAAGGAACCAACCCUGCCGACAUCUUGAUUUCGGACUUCCAGCCUCCAGAACUGUGAGACUGUAAAUUUCUGUUGUUUAAGUCACUCGGUCUGUGUCACUUUGUCAGACAGAUCCUAGCAAACCAAUACAUCAGCUUCCCUACGCAGUAGUCCCCGUGGAGAACGGGCCUUCUAAUGCCUCAGAAACGCCCCUCUUGACUUGCAUGAUUAUGACCAAGAGAGAGACUGUCUCAACUCAGCCCAUGCUGUUCCUUUCGGCUCCGCUUUCCAAUCCGGGACGCGCCUCUCCCAGGUAAGCCCUCACCCCCCCGCACAGGUGCAUUGACACAUGCACACAUAUGGGCUGGCUUUGUCCUCACAGCCCAAGAGUCUAACUGCACCUUAUUGAUAUGGGAAAGUAGCUGUCUGUAGAAUUCGUGCAAAGAGUAGUCAGUUCCUCCAGAGACGUCAGACAUGUGGCUGAAGUGACACGGCAAGGUGGAGUUCACGGAUGAGAGGAGGUAGGAGAAUUGUGCGCCAGGCAGACUCGGGGACCAGGAGAGAGUUCAGUGUGGG